rnacentral:lncRNA from 1 species
UGGGGACAGUGUGGUGCUCUGGAAUCCCUGGAGACCAGGAGCAUGAAUGCAGCUAGAAGUCACAUGGUAUGGGAGAAGGCUGAGGUCUCAGCUCUACCACCAAACCCUGUAGAAGCCAUUGGAUCAGCUGGAGAGCUGCUGUAUGCUUGGUGGAUUGACCAUAGGUUAUGAACACCACUGCCAGGCAACUCCGAUCUGCCUAGGGGAGCAAGGACGUAAUUUGCCCUCGGAGUGUUAUUAUGGAAGUUUGUGUUCACUGAGCUUUUUAUACCCGCCUCACAAGAAGAAAGACCAAAGGGAAAAACUCGGCAUGGAGAGUGAGAAAGAACAACGUGAAGAAAGAAGAAAAACACCCGAGCAGGCUCAGAGGGACCAGAGACUGUACGAGAGCACCGUCACGUCAGAAAACAUCGCACUGCUGCGUGGUCAGAGGUGCCGUGUGGCCCUGUGAAAAAAACCUUUACCAAGCAAUCAAAAUAAGUUUUC